rnacentral:rRNA from 1 species
AGAGUUUGAUCAUGGCUCAGGAUGAACGCUAGCGGCAGGCUUAACACAUGCAAGUCGAGGGGCAGCAAGGGUAGCAAUACCUGUUGGCGACCGGCAAACGGGUGCGGAACACGUACACAACAUACCUUUUACUGGAGCAUAGCCCGUUGAAAAGCGGAUUAACACUCCAUAAUAUAAUUGGGAGGCAUCUCUUGGUUAUUAAAAAUUUAUUGGUAAGAGAUUGGUGUGCGUCCUAUUAGCUAGUUGGUAGGGUAACGGCCUACCAAGGCGACGAUAGGUAGCUGGUGUGAGAGCACGACCAGCCACACGGGCACUGAGACACGGGCCCGACUCCUACGGGAGGCAGCAGUGAGGAAUAUUGGUCAAUGGACGAGAGUCUGAACCAGCCAUGCCGCGUGAAGGAUGAAGGCGUUCUGCGUUGUAAACUUCUUUUAUCUGGGAAGAAACCUUCUUUUUCUAAGGAAGCCGACGGUACCAGAGGAAUAAGCACCGGCUACUCCGUGCCAACAGCCGCGGUA